ACGAACGCUGGCGGCGUGCUUAACACAUGCAAGUCGCACGGAAAGGCCCUGCUUUUGUGGGGUGCUCGAGUGGCGAACGGGUGAGUAACACGUGAGUAACCUGCCCUUGACUUUGGGAUAACUUCAGGAAACUGGGGCUAAUACCGGAUAGGAGCUCCUGCUGCAUGGUGGGGGUUGGAAAGUUUCGGCGGUUGGGGAUGGACUCGCGGCUUAUCAGCUUGUUGGUGGGGUAGUGGCUUACCAAGGCUUUGACGGGUAGCCGGCCUGAGAGGGUGACCGGCCACAUUGGGACCGAGAUACGGCCCAGACUCCUACGGGAGGCAGCAGUGGGGAAUAUUGCACAAUGGGCGGAAGCCUGAUGCAGCAACGCCGCGUGCGGGAUGACGGCCUUCGGGUUGUAAACCGCUUUCGCCUGUGACGAAGCGUGAGUGACGGUAAUGGGUAAAGAAGCACCGGCUAACUACGUG
rnacentral:rRNA from 1 species